rnacentral:tRNA from 1 species
GGGGCAUUAGCUAAGCGGGAAAGCGACAGUCUGAAGAUCUGUUCAUCGCUGGUUCAAAUCCAGCAUGUCCCA